UACAGAGGGGGCAAGCGUUAUUCGGAAUUAUUGGGCGUAAAGGGCGCGUAGGCGGCCUGGCAAGUGGAAGGUGAAAUCCCUCGGCUUAACCGAGGAGCUGCCCUCCAAACUGCUUGGCUUGAGUCCGGGAGAGGUGAGUGGAAUUCCCAGUGUAGCGGUGAAAUGCGUAGACAUUGGGAGGAACACCAGUGGCGAAGGCGACUUCCUGGCCUGUUCUUGACGCUGAGGCGCGAAAGCUAGGGGAGCAAACGGG
rnacentral:rRNA from 1 species